rnacentral:tRNA from 16 species
CGCAGGGUGGAGCAGUUGGCAGCUCGUCGGGCUCAUAACCCGGAGGCCGGAGGUUCGAGUCCUCUCCCUGCUA